AACCACUAAUGAAAAUUCUCUUAUUAAGAUGGGGUUCAAUUAUUAGUCAAUUUACAAACAACAAAAUAAGUACAAAAACAAGAAAAUUAUAAUCGCAGUAAAAUAAGAAUACAAGAUAUUUUGCUCUAAGACAAGAGGUUCAGAACAUAAAAUGUUCCUAAUCUCCUUUUAAGCUUCCACCACCAGAAGAACCACUUGUAUUAAGAAACCGAAACCAUGGAACCAUCUGAAAUGCACACAACCAAGGCACUCAGACUGAAUCACUCAAGAUUACAUCAUAACACCUUUCGAUCUACACAUAAACGUUCACACAAGAACAAAGAAGCUCUCAGAUUUACAGAUCCCUUAAGAAAAGUAAAAAGUAUUCGAGAGUUUCUAGAACUCAAAA
rnacentral:lncRNA from 1 species